GAGAGUACAGUAGAAACCCAAGACAAAAUUAUCCAGGAAGGUCAACCUUCAUUUUACAGGUGUGCAGUUGCCUACAUAUGCCUGUGGCCUCAAGGCCAUGUAGAAAUUGUCCCUGGUUCAGCCAAAGCAAAUUCAACUGUGCUUUUUCCCCAAGUCUGCAUUCAGUGACAUCAUGUUGGUGGAUUGAAAUCAGCCACAGUGGGAAUAUUUACACCACAGAAAUGGGCAGCAACCACCACAAAUCAGGGCUUUAUUCAUUAUUUGGUUGACUAUCUAGACUUAAGAGGCAGGGAACCCACGGAGAGUGAGAAUUUGGAGAUUCAGGAAAAGAGGGUACAUGACACGAGGCAGGAGGGUGCAAGGCUGGAGAGAUCAGAGGAUGUAGAAUGAGAAAACCACCUCAUCGAAAAGGGUCUUUGGGUUGUCUUCUACCAGGAAGAGUUUUUAAAUAGGAGUAGCCAGCUACUAGACACGCCAGCACCUACUACACGGCAUCUUAGGUGCUCAACACCUAUUCUGUUGAGUAGAAAAUACUAUCACCACCACCAUUCUAGAAGUCUUUUCUUUUAUUGUCCCACCAAUGCGAAGAUACUUCAAAGGCAGAGAGGAGGAGGAAAUGGGGAGAUGUAGGUCAAAGGGUACAAACUUGCAGUUACGUAGGAUCAAUAAGUCUAGAGAUCCAAUGUGCCACAAAGCUACAGUUAUUAAUCUUGCA
rnacentral:lncRNA from 1 species